GAUGAAGAACGUAGCGAAAUGCGAUAAGUAAUGUGAAUUGCAGAAUUCAGUGAAUCAUCGAAUCUUUGAACGCACAUUGCGCCCCCUGGUAUUCCGGGGGGCAUGCCUGUUCGAGCGUCAUUUCACCACUCAAGCCUCGCUUGGUAUUGGGCAACGCGGUCCGCCGCGUGCCUCAAAUCGACCGGCUGGGUCUUCUGUCCCCUAAGCGGUGUGGAAACUAUUCGCUAAAGGGUGUUCGGGAGGCUACGCCGUAAAACAACCCCAUUUCUAAGGUGGACCUCGGAUCAGGUAGGGAUACCCGCUGAACUUAAGCAUAUCAAUAAGCGGAGGA
rnacentral:misc_RNA from 1 species